GGCGUUUCAUUUUGGAUCUUUCCUUGCUUGUUUUAUACAAUCAACAAUUAGUGCUGUUAGCUUGCAAUUUAGCUAUCUCUGAAUAGGCCACUUGCUAAAAAUAACAUGUCAUGACACUUUUGUUUAUAGCACAAGUUCAUCAUCCUUAGCGGUUGCCAAGUUCCUGAGCACUAACACAUCAAGUAUUAUUAUAAUACCAGGCAGACAAGUGUGCUUCAUAGAUUUUAUGGAUGUUUUAAUACACAUAUUUUUUUAAACUCA
rnacentral:misc_RNA from 1 species